GAUGAACGCUGGCGGCGUGCCUAAUACAUGCAAGUCGAGCGAACGGACGAGAAGCUUGCUUUUCUGAUGUUAGCGGCGGACGGGUGAGUAACACGUGGAUAACCUACCUAUAAGACUGGGAUAAUUUCGGGAAACCGGAGCUAAUACCGGAUAAUAUUUUGAACCGCAUGGUUCAAAAGUGAAAGACGGUCUUGCUGUCACUUAUAGAUGGAUCCGCGCUGCAUUAGCUAGUUGGUAAGGUAACGGCUUACCAAGGCAACGAUGCAUAGCCGACCUGAGAGGGUGAUCGGCCACACUGGAACUGAGACACGGUCCAGACUCCUACGGGAGGCAGCAGUAGGGAAUCUUCCGCAAUGGGCGAAAGCCUGACGGAGCAACGCCGCGUGAGUGAUGAAGGUCUUCGGAUCGUAAAACUCUGUUAUUAGGGAAGAACAUAUGUGUAAGUAACUGUGCACAUCUUGACGGUACCUAAUCAGAAAGCCACGGCUAACUACGUGCCAGCAGCCGCGGUAAUACGUAGGUGGCAAGCGUUAUCCGGAAUUAUUGGGCGUAAAGCGCGCGUAGGCGGUUUUUUAAGUCUGAUGUGAAAGCCCACGGCUCAACCGUGGAGGGUCAUUGGAAACUGGAAAACUUGAGUGCAGAAGAGGAAAGUGGAAUUCCAUGUGUAGCGGUGAAAUGCGCAGAGAUGUGGAGGAACACCAGUGGCGAAGGCGACUUUCUGGUCUGUAACUGACGCUGAUGUGCGAAAGCGUGGGGAUCAAACAGGAUUAGAUACCCUGGUAGUCCACGCCGUAAACGAUGAGUGCUAAGUGUUAGGGGGUUUCCGCCCCUUAGUGCUGCAGCUAACGCAUUAAGCACUCCGCCUGGGGAGUACGACCGCAAGGUUGAAACUCAAAGGAAUUGACGGGGGCCCGCACAAGCGGUGGAGCAUGUGGUUUAAUUCGAAGCAACGCGAAGAACCUUACCAAAUCUUGACAUCCUUUGACAACUCUAGAGAUAGAGCCUUCCCCUUCGGGGGACAAAGUGACAGGUGGUGCAUGGUUGUCGUCAGCUCGUGUCGUGAGAUGUUGGGUUAAGUCCCGCAACGAGCGCAACCCUUAAGCUUAGUUGCCAUCAUUAAGUUGGGCACUCUAAGUUGACUGCCGGUGACAAACCGGAGGAAGGUGGGGAUGACGUCAAAUCAUCAUGCCCCUUAUGAUUUGGGCUACACACGUGCUACAAUGGACAAUACAAAGGGCAGCGAAACCGCGAGGUCAAGCAAAUCCCAUAAAGUUGUUCUCAGUUCGGAUUGUAGUCUGCAACUCGACUACAUGAAGCUGGAAUCGCUAGUAAUCGUAGAUCAGCAUGCUACGGUGAAUACGUUCCCGGGUCU
rnacentral:rRNA from 1 species